rnacentral:rRNA from 1 species
GAUGCCUAUAUUGUAAAUCGUAGUGGUGUGUGAAUGAAUCUUGUUUAAUAUUUAUCAUAACCCUGUGUAACUAAACGAAGUGAAUCAUCUUAUUAGUUUAGGUAAAGAAAUCAACAGAGACGGUAUUAGUAGCGGCGAGCGAACAUUAAA